UUAUCUCAAUCUGCCACGUCCAAGAUCUCUCCAUCCUUCCAGGUUCCAGCACAUAUCGGCUUCCUGAAAAAGGGGUCACGUACGCUUCUCCUAAUUCAAGCUACCUGAUCCUUAUCCCAUGCCAUCAGGCUGCAAGCUCCUUCACGCCACCUCACAUUCCACGCACAGGUUUACUUCUUGCUCUUCACACCAUGCGGCUUCCAAGACUCCGCUCAUCACAGCGCUUGGAGCUUGCCGGUUGCCGAGAUGAACCCUGUGCUUAGUCCAUCAGCACCCUAGCCUCCCAUUCACAGUUCCUCCCUGACCUCCCUUACGCUAUUGCAGCAGCAGCACUUGACUCCAGUGCCCUCAACACCCAGCCAUAGUCUACCUCUGCGCUCGUCACGAAGCCGCUUGCCCUACAGUCCUGUCAUGUCACCGUCCUACAAGCACUGAGCUCCGUCCAUCUCGUUGAACGCCAUCGUCCCCUUCUUCACUGUAGGCUCGACAUCUGCCUUCUGGUGCACACCGACGCUGCGCUCUGGCCCUCGCCCUCCAUCGCGCGCUCGGACACUUUGUCACCUCCAGACUUCGCCGUCACUGAGCUUCUCCCUCGCUCUCAGAUCGAGGUCGCCCGACCCCAGCGCGCUCGCCCUGGUGCCCAGCACCUCUUCAAUCCCGAUGCAUCCCCAACUGAACUCGUCGGACUCGCCUUGGUUUGGACUUCGCCAAGUUGGUGAGCAGCCGUGAACUGCACCAUGCUCAGGCCCUGCCCGCUUCCUUUCCAUCUGGGUUGAUCCUACUUCGUCAGAACAGCAGCAGCGCCAGCGUCCUCUCCUAGCUUGUGUUCGUGAAUUUUCUCGUCGAACCGGCAUCGUGUCAUCAUCCGGUAGUGCGGCGCUCUUAAUUCAUAUUUUGGCGAUUUAUAUAUUUAUAUGUUGUAGGUGUAUUCUAGAUAUAUUAUUUGUUACCUUCUUUAUGAAAUGCAUUUCCAUACCAUAGCAAGCAUUAAUCUACAUGUAAUUGAUUUGUAGAACACGUAGAAGAAGUGAUGUUUGAAGAAGGAGUUCACUUCAGUGCAUGUUGAUCCAGCGGUGGAGUUUCAUCUAACUACUUACCAGAGUAGAAUAAGGUUUUGAAUCUUCUCUGCAACAAGGCAAGCCCCGGUGCAU
rnacentral:lncRNA from 1 species